ensembl:lncRNA
CUGAGCAGUAUGCCUCACUGACAGAGCAGCUGUGUGUAUUUGUAGCCUCACUACCAAACCAGCAUUUCAUCUCCGAGGAAGUUAUCCCAGAGAGAAGUAAAGCAAGUGUUAGAGGUGCAGUAUCCUAACUAUUCUGGACAGAGACUUCUGAUGCUGCACAUGAAAUCGGCAAGACCACUGUUCCAGUUUUGGCUUUACAAGGAUGAAGAGUCCAAGACCCCCACUACUUACCCACCUGAAGGUCUCAUCAGAUCAACCUUGUGUAUUUUCCAGCUCACAGUCGGCAUCCCCCCCUCUAUUUCCCUCUGCCUCACUCUCAUCUGCAGAACUCGGUACCAUCUGGACGCAAAACUGCC